rnacentral:rRNA from 1 species
AUUGAACGCUGGCGGCAGGCCUAACACAUGCAAGUCGAGCGCGCGGCGGACGGGUGAGUAAUGUAUGGGGACCUGCCCGAUGGCGGGGGAUAACUACUGGAAACGGUAGCUAAUCCCGCAUACCAUCAGAUGAACCAAUAUGGGAUUAGCUAGUAGGUGGGGUAACGGCUCACCUAGGCGACGAUCCAGAGUUGGCCUGAGAGGAUGAUCAGCCACACUGGGACUGAGACACGGCCCAGACGCCUACGGGAGGCAGCAGUGGGGAAUGUUGCACAAUGGGCGCAAGCCUGAUGCAGCCAUGCCGCGUGUAUGAAGAAGGCCUUCGGGUUGUAAAGUACUUUCAGUCGGGAGGCGUUACCGACAGAAGAAGCACCGGCUAACUCCGUGCCAGCAGCCGCGGUAAUUC